GGUUAACCAUCUAGGGGAGCCGUAGGGAAACCGAGUCUUAACUGGGCGUCAUAGUUGCUAGGAUUAGACCCGAAACCGAGUGAUCUAGCCAUGGGCAGGUUGAAGAUUGAGUAACAUCAAUUGGAGGACCGAACCGACUAAUGUUGAAAAAUUAGCGGAUGACUUGUGGCUAGGGGUGAAAGGCCAAUCAAACUCGGAGAUAGCUGGUUCUCCCCGAAAGCUAUUUAGGUAGCGCCUCGGACGAAUACUACUGGGGGUAGAGCACUGUUAAGGCUAGGGGGUCAUCCCGACUUACCAACCCUUUGCAAACUCCGAAUACCAGUAAGUACUAUCCGGGAGACACACGGCGGGUGCUAACGUCCGUCGUGAAGAGGGAAACAACCCAGACCGCCAGCUAAGGUCCCAAAGUUAUAGCUAAGUGGGAAACGAUGUGGGAAGGCUCAGACAGCCAGGAUGUUGGCUUAGAAGCAGCCAUCAUUUAAAGAAAGCGUAAUAGCUCACUGGUCGAGUCGGCCUGCGCGGAAGAUUUAACGGGGCUAAGCUAUACACCGAAGCUGCGGCAAUGUGCUUUGCACAUUGGGUAGGGGAGCGUUCUGUAAGCCGUUGAAGGUGCAUUGUAAAGUGUGCUGGAGGUAUCAGAAGUGCGAAUGCUGACAUGAGUAACGACAAAGGGAGUGAAAAACUCCCUCGCCGGAAGACCAAGGGUUCCUGUCCAACGUUAAUCGGGGCAGGGUGAGUCGACCCCUAAGGCGAGGCCGAAAGGCGUAGUCGAUGGGAAACGGGUUAAUAUUCCCGUACUUCUUACUAUUGCGAUGGGGGACGGAGAAGGCUAGGUGAGCCUGGCGACGGUUGUCCAGGUCCAAGUACGUAGGUGGAUGAAUUAGGCAAAUCCGGUUCAUCAUUAACACUGAGAUACGAUGUCGAGCUACUACGGUAGCGAAGUCAUUGAUGCCAUGCUUCCGGGAAAAGCCUCUAAGCUUCAGAUAGUAAGAAAUCGUACCCCAAACCGACACAGGUGGUCGGGUAGAGAAUACCAAGGCGCUUGAGAGAACUCGGGUGAAGGAACUAGGCAAAAUGGUACCGUAACUUCGGGAGAAGGUACGCUCUUAACGGUGAAGUCCCUCGCGGAUGGAGCUGUCGAGAGUCGCAGAUACCAGGUGGCUGCAACUGUUUAUUAAAAACACAGCACUGUGCAAAAUCGAAAGAUGACGUAUACGGUGUGACGCCUGCCCGGUGCCGGAAGGUUAAUUGAUGGGGUUAGACGUAAGUCGAAGCUCUUGAUCGAAGCCCCGGUAAACGGCGGCCGUAACUAUAACGGUCCUAAGGUAGCGAAAUUCCUUGUCGGGUAAGUUCCGACCUGCACGAAUGGCGUAAUGAUGGCCACGCUGUCUCCACCCGAGACUCAGUGAAAUUGAAAUCGCUGUGAAGAUGCAGCGUACCCGCGGCUAGACGGAAAGACCCCGUGAACCUUUACUACAGCUUGGCACUGAACAUUGACCCUACAUGUGUAGGAUAGGUGGGAGACUUUGAAACGCAGACGCCAGUUUGCGUGGAGUCGUCCUUGAAAUACCACCCUUGUAGUGUUGAUGUUCUAACUUGGCCCCAUUAUCUGGGGUGAGGACAGUGCCUGGUGGGUAGUUUGACUGGGGCGGUCUCCUCCCAAAGAGUAACGGAGGAGCACGAAGGUGGGCUAAUCACGGUCGGACAUCGUGAGGUUAGUGCAAUGGCAUAAGCCCGCUUAACUGCGAGAAUGACGGUUCGAGCAGGUGCGAAAGCAGGUCAUAGUGAUCCGGUGGUUCUGUAUGGAAGGGCCAUCGCUCAACGGAUAAAAGGUACUCCGGGGAUAACAGGCUGAUACCGCCCAAGAGUUCAUAUCGACGGCGGUGUUUGGCACCUCGAUGUCGGCUCAUCACAUCCUGGGGCUGAAGUCGGUCCCAAGGGUAUGGCUGUUCGCCAUUUAAAGUGGUACGCGAGCUGGGUUUAGAACGUCGUGAGACAGUUCGGUCCCUAUCUGCCGUGGGCGUUGGAUGAUUGAGAGGGGCUGCUCCUAGUACGAGAGGACCGGAGUGGACGAACCUCUGGUGUUCGGGUUGUGUCGCCAGACGCAUUGCCCGGUAGCUAAGUUCGGAAUCGAUAACCGCUGAAAGCAUCUAAGCGGGAAGCGAGCCUCAAGAUGAGUCAUCCCUGAUACUUUAAGUAUCCUAAAGGGUUGUUGGAGACUACGACGUAGAUAGGCAGGGUGUGUAAGCGCUGUGAGGCGUUGAGCUAACCUGUACUAAUUGCCCGUGAGGCUUAACCAU
rnacentral:rRNA from 1 species